rnacentral:rRNA from 1 species
AGGACGAACGCUGGCGGCGUGCUUAACACAUGCAAGUCGAGCGGAAAGGCCCUUCGGGGUACUCGAGCGGCGAACGGGUGAGUAACACGUGAGUAAUCUGCCCCUAGCUCUGGGAUAGCUCCGGGAAACCGGGAUUAAUACCGGAUACGACCACUUUAGACAUCUGUUGUGGUGGAAAGAAUUUUGGCUAGGGAUGAGCUCGCGGCCUAUCAGCUUGUUGGUGGGGUAACGGCCUACCAAAGCGACGACGGGUA